GGCGGCAGGCCUAAUACAUGCAAGUCGAACGGUUGUAGCAAUACAGCAGUGGCAGACGGGUGAGUAACGCGUGGGAAUCUACCCAGUGGUACGGAACAACCAAGGGAAACUCUGGCUAAUACCGUAUACGCCCUCCGGGGGAAAGAUUUAUCGCCAUUGGAUGAGCCCGCGUCGGAUUAGCUAGUUGGUAGGGUAACGGCCUACCAAGGCGACGAUCCGUAGCUGGUCUGAGAGGAUGAUCAGCCACACUGGGACUGAGACACGGCCCAGACUCCUACGGGAGGCAGCAGUAGGGAAUAUUGGACAAUGGGCGAAAGCCUGAUCCAGCCAUGCCGCGUGAGUGAUGAAGGCCCUAGGGUUGUAAAGCUCUUUCGGCGGGGAAGAUAAUGACGGUACCCGCAGAAGAAGCCCCGGCUAACUUCGUGCCAGCAGCCGCGGUAAUACGAAGGGGGCUAGCGUUGUUCGGAAUCACUGGGCGUAAAGCGCGCGUAGGCGGGAUUGUUAAGUCAGGGGUGAAAUGCCGAGGCUCAACCUCGGAACUGCCUUUGAUACUGGCAAUCUUGA
rnacentral:rRNA from 1 species